rnacentral:misc_RNA from 1 species
CCGGCCCGUCACACCAUGGAAGCUGGCAACGCCCGAAGUCAUUACCCCAACCUUUUGGAGGGGGAUGCCUAAGGCAGUGCUGGUGACUGGGGUGAAGUCGUAACAAGGUAGCCGUACCGGAAGGUGUGGCUGGAUCACCUCCUUUUAGGGAGACCUACCCAACUUGAACUCGAAAGCAAAAAGUAAAUAGAGAGCAAGAUGGUCAACCUAGGUCGGUCGAGAUUGGUAAAGACUUUCAAAGUAUUGAAUGGUUCAGUUUAAAAAUUAGCCAAAAACAAAGGAAAAAAGUUCAGCACCUAGCGAGAUUGAGUUAGAAUGCUGGGUUGAAUCCUAGCCAGAACCUUGAAAACUGCAUAGAAACGCGAAUAUUAAGCAGGCAGACACAGACAUGAAAAUAGAAGUGUUUGCAGGUGAGACACCAAAUGUAUAGUGGUCAAGCGAAAAAGAGCUCAUGGUGGAUACCUAG